GACGAACGCUGGCGGCGUGCGUAACACAUGCAAGUCGAACGAGAGAGUGAGAGAAGCUUGCUUUUCUUACAAUCGAGUGGCAAACGGGUGAGUAACGCGUAAACAACCUGCCCCGCAGAUGGGGACAACAGCUGGAAACGGCUGCUAAUACCGAAUACGCUCCUCUUAGCGCAUGGUAAGAGGAAGAAAGGGUGGCCUCUGGAACAAGCUACCGCUGUGGGAGGGGUUUGCGUCUGAUUAGCUGGUUGGAGGGGUAACGGCCCACCAAGGCGACGAUCAGUAGCCGGUCUGAGAGGAUGAACGGCCACAUUGGAACUGAGACACGGUCCAGACUCCUACGGGAGGCAGCAGUGGGGAAUCUUCCGCAAUGGGCGAAAGCCUGACGGAGCAACGCCGCGUGAGUGAAGACGGCCUUCGGGUUGUAAAGCUCUUUUUUAGGGGACGGG
rnacentral:rRNA from 1 species